UCCUUGCUCUACAUUAAACAUAUCGCUACAUGUUUAUGACAUAUUGACAUCAUAUUUUGCUGACUUAUGAAUUUGAGAAUAUAGAAUCCAACAAGCAAAUACCAAGGUAUAUAGUUUGACACUUUAUUCCUUUCCCGACAUGCAUUUUUGUUCUGAUGAACACAAUUAGAAAUAUAUUAAAUACUACAAAGUAAUUAACAUACGCGUUAGCGUCAUUUAAGGGCUUUGUCUGCAAUUACAUUCAUUUUUUUUCUAAUGUUUCUAUCAGUUAUCAUGUUUUUAUUUUUUAAAAAGUCUACCAUUAAAACAUUUAAAAAUGUUUGAAAAAAAAAUAAAAUAAUACAGUCGUUUUAAUUAUUUGUAUAUUAGUAAUGUGCUCACAGUUAUAAAGGCCAAAUGAGACGAGUUAUGUUGAAAUUUGCAGAUAUAGAAUCAUCCAUUUAACAGAUUAUCAUGUUGUGUGUUAUGAGGGUAAAUAAACUCACCAUAGAUACCAUGAUUAAAUAUAGUAUAUAAGCCAGACGCGCGUUUCGUCUACAAAAGACUCAUCAGUGACGCUCGAAUCCAAAAAAGUUAAAAAGGCCAAAUAAAGUACGAAGUUGAAGAGCAUUGAGGACCAAAUGCACUCUUUAUUAACACCUACUGAUAAAGAGUGCAUUAGCCUCAUCACACAAAACAUGAAAAUCUGUUAAUUCAAUAUAACAGAAUACUAAAUGUUCAUCAUUAUAACUCAUC
rnacentral:lncRNA from 1 species